GAUGAACGCUAGCGGCAGGCCUAAUACAUGCAAGUCAAGGGGGCCAGCAAUGGCACCGGCGGACGGGUGCGUAACGCGUACACAACGUACCUCUGACAGGGGGAUAGCAUUGGGAAACUGGUGGUAAUACCCCAUAGUAUUGCUGAGAGGCAUUUCUUGGCGAUUAAAGUUUCGGCGGUCAGAGAUCGGUGUGCGUCCGAUUAGCUAGUUGGCGGGGUAACGGCCCACCAAGGCGACGAUCGGUAGGGGGUGUGAGAGCAUGGCCCCCCACACGGGUACUGAGACACGGCCCAGACUCCUACGGGAGGCAGCAGUGGGGAAUAUUGGACAAUGGGCGCAAGCCUGAUCCAGCAAUGCCGCGUGAGUGAUGAAGGCCUUCGGGUUGUAAAGCUCUUUCGCCCACGACGAUGAUGACGGUAGUGGGAGAAGAAGCCCCGGCUAACUUCGUG
rnacentral:rRNA from 1 species